CCUGGCGGCCUUAGCGCGGUGGUCCCACCUGACCCCAUGCCGAACUCAGAAGUGAAACGCCGUAGCGCCGAUGGUAGUGUGGGGUCUCCCCAUGCUGGUAGUGUGGGGUCUCCCCAUGC
rnacentral:rRNA from 1 species